rnacentral:rRNA from 1 species
UACGAAGGGGGCAAGCGUUGUUCGGAUUUACUGGGCGUAAAGGGCGCGCAGGCGGCUCUUCAAGUCAGAUGUGAAAGCCCCGGGCUCAACCUGGGAACUGCAUUUGAGACUGAAGAACUCGAGUUCGGGAGAGGAUGGCGGAAUUCCCAGUGUAGAGGUGAAAUGCGUAGAUAUCUGGAGGGACACCGGUGGCGAAGGCGGCAUCCUGGACCAACACUGACGCUGAGGAGCGAAAGCUAGGGGAGCAAACAGG